rnacentral:rRNA from 1 species
AGUGAACGCUGGCGGUGGGCCUAACACAUGCAAGUCGAACGGCAGCACAGUAAGAGCUUGCUCUUACGGGUGGGGAGUGGCGGAUGGGUGAGGAAUACAUCGGACUCUUCUUUUUGGUGGGGGAUCACGUAGGGGACUUUACGCUAAUAUAGCAUACGACUCUCGGGGGAAAUCGUGGGAUCUUUGGACCUGGCGGGAUUGAAUGAGCCGAUGUCGGAUUAGCUUGUUGGGGGGGUAAAGGCCCACCAAGGCGACGAUCCGUAGCUGGUCUGAGGGGAGGAUCAGCCACACUGGAAAUGAGACACGGUCCAGACUCCUACGGGAGGCAGCAGUGGGGAAUAUGGGACAAUGGGCGCAAGCCUGAUCCAGCCAUACCGCGUGGGUGAAGAAGGCCUUCGGGUUGUAAAGCCCUUUUGUUGGGAAAGAAAAGCAGCAGGUUAAUACCCCGCUGUUGUGACGGUACCCAAAGAAUAAGCACCGGCUAACUUCGUG